AUUGAACGCUGGCGGCAGGCCUAACACAUGCAAGUCGAACGGUAACAGGAAGAAGCUUGCUUCUUUGCUGACGAGUGGCGGACGGGUGAGUAAUGUCUGGGAAACUGCCUGAUGGAGGGGGAUAACUACUGGAAACGGUAGCUAAUACCGCAUAACGUCGCAAGACCAAAGAGGGGGACCUUCGGGCCUCUUGCCCUCGGAUGUGCCCAGAUGGGAUUAGCUAGUAGGUGGGGUAACGGCUCACCUAGGCGACGAUCCCUAGCUGGUCUGAGAGGAUGACCAGGCACAGUGGAACUGAGACACGGUCCAGACUCCUACGGGAGGCAGCAGUGGGGAAUAUUGCACAAUGGGCGCAAGCCUGAUGCAGCCAUGCCGCGUGUAUGAAGAAGGCCUUCGGGUUGUAAAGUACUUUCAGCGGGGAGGAAGGGAGUAAAGUUAAUACCUUUGCUCAUUGACGUUACCCGCAGAAGAAGCACCGGCUAACUCCGUG
rnacentral:rRNA from 1 species